UACGAAGGGGGCUAGCGUUGUUCGGAAUCACUGGGCGUAAAGCGCACGUAGGCGGAUUGUUAAGUCAGGGGUGAAAUCCUGGAGCUCAACUCCAGAACUGCCUUUGAUACUGAAGAUCUUGAGUUCGGGAGAGGUGAGUGGAACUGCGAGUGUAGAGGUGAAAUUCGUAGAUAUUCGCAAGAACACCAGUGCGAAGGCGGCUCACUGGCCCGAUACUGACGCUGAGGCACGAAAGCGUGGGGAGCAAACAGG
rnacentral:rRNA from 1 species